UAAGGAAACUAGGUGACUGCUACUUACUAUAAGUAGAGGAAAGUCCGAGCACCAUCGAGCAAAGUGCUGGGUAACACCCAGGCAAGGUAACUUGAUAGAAAGUGCCACAGAAAUAUACCGCCUGCAGUAGUAGGUAAGGGUGAAAACGCGAGGUAAGAGCUCACGGUUCCUGCGGUGACGUUAGGAAUUAGGUAAACCUCACUUGGUGCAAGACCGAAUAGGGAAACAUAGCUGCUCGAGUAGUUUCCGGGUUGGUCGCAUGAGUAUAAUGGUAACAUUAUACCUAGAUAGAUGGUCACCACCUUAACACCAAAGGUACAGAACUCGGCUUAUAAGUUCCCUUAAUCC
rnacentral:RNase_P_RNA from 2 species